AUAAUAAUAAAUAAAUAAAUUGAAGAGUUAAGUGUAUAUAAAAGGGGUAAAUAUGAAUUAAUUUAAAGAAAAACUACUAAUAAAAGAGGUGAAGAUGAUAAUAAGAUAUAUAUUUAUAUAUAUAGGAAAAUUAUGAAGCCUAAAGGAAACGAGUAAAGAAUCAACGAAGUGAACUGAAACAUCAAAGUAGCUUAAGGAGAGGAAAUUAACAAAGAUUCUAUGAGUAUUGGUGAGAGAAAAUAGAGAUAGUAAGAAUAAGUAAGAUUAAAAAAGUAAUAGUAAGAAAAUAGGAUAAACUAAUUCUAAGACUAAAUAUUAUUAGUAAGUAUAAGAAGUACCGAAAGGGAAUAGAUUAAAUUAGUGAAAUAGAGAGCAAUGAGAGGUCAAGGAAAAAAUUGAUUAAUCAUGUACCUUUUGUAUAAUGGGUUAGCAAGAUAUAAUGAAUAGCGAAAUAAAGAAGAAGAGUUAGAAUGAAAAUGAAAAGGAAGUUAUUAAUUAUAGACCCGAAAGUAGAUGAUCUUACCUUAAACAAGUGGUUAAAGAAAAGAAAUUUUCAAACGACUGAACAGGUUAAUGUUGCAAUAUUAUCUGAAGAUUUAAGGUAAGCAGUGAAAGACAAAUCUGAUCUACAGAUAGCUGGUUUUUUGUGAAAUAUAUAUUAGUAUAGCAUUAAUAUAAAAAUUUAAGAGGUAAAGCAAUUAAUAAUAAUUGGGAUGUCGUGUCGAUAUUAUCAAUAUUAUUUAAUCUCAAAAAAUUCUUAAAUAAAAAAAAGAUAUUAAUAGUCAGACUAUUAGUGAUAAGAUUGAUAGUUUAAAGGGAAACAGCCCAGAUUAGAAAAUAAAGUUCCGAAGUAUAAAUUAAGUGUAAUUAAUAUUUAUUAAUUAAAAUACAAUUAGGGGAUUAGUUUGACAGUAAUUAUUCUAUGAUCAACGUGUAACAACGGGUUAAUUAAAAUAAUAAUAAGAAAUUAUUAUAAUAAAGUUAAUAAAUAAAUAAUAAUCGGAGCUAUAAAUUUAUAACUGAAUUUAUAAUUAUUAUUUUAAAGAAAAAUAAUUAAAAUAAUAAGGUAACAAAACAUUUAAUGAUUAAAAAAUUUAAUUAAAUUAAAUUUUAGUAGUAUAAGUAAAUAUAUAUUUAUUUAAAUAAAUAUUUAAAUAAUAAUAUAUAAAGAAUAAUAAAUAUUUAUAAUAAGGAAUUAAAUAGAGAAUGCUGACAUGAGUAACGGAUAAGAGGUGAAAACCUCUUCACUAAAUAUAUUAGGUUUUAAUAAAAAAUCGGUCCAUAAGAGAUUAUCUGAAAGGAUAAAAUUAAGAGGUAAUUAAUAAAAUAUUAGAGGAAGACUAUAGAAUAAGAAAUAGAAUAAUAUAUAGUCCCGGAAAAAGAAUAUUUUUAUACCGUAAUAAAACCGACCCAGGUAUAUAACUAAGAAUAAAGUGAAUAAGAGAAGUCAGGUUAAUGAACUCGGCAAGAGCAAAGUUCAGAAGUUAGUCAAAAAGAACGAAAAAAGAAUAUGUUAUGCGACUGUUUACUAAAAACACAGCACUUUGCCAAAAUAAAAUUUGUAGAAUAAAGUGUGAAUUCUGCCCCAUGCUCAAUAAUAAAAAAAUAUAUUGAAAGGUAUAUUUAAAAGAUUUGGGUAAAUGGCGGUUUUAUACUGAGAAUCAUAAUGUAGCGAAAUUCCUUGGCUACUAAAUCUAGUCCUGCAUGAAUGGAGUAACGAUAUAACAACUGUAUCAACCAGACUCUUAGUGAAAUUGGAAUUGCAGUGAAGAUACUGUAUACCUAAAGGUAGACGAGAAGACCCUAUGCAGCUUUACUAUAAUUUAAUAAGUUGUUCUUAUUUAAUUAAUUUUUAGUAUAUAAAGUAAUAUUUUGAUAUAAAAAUGAAAUACUUUUAUUUAAUUAAAUAUUAACUAAAUUAUUAUUUAUAUAAAUGAAUAAUAUAUCUUUAUAUAAAUUAUUAUUAGAAUAAUAAUAAUAUGUAAUAAUGACAGCUUUAGAUUGAUAGUUUAAAUGGGGCGUUGAUUUCACAAAAAAUAACUGAAUAUGUCCAUAUACAAUUUUUAUAUAAAUUAAAUAUAUUAGAUUAAUGAAUUAAUCAUUAAAAUUGUUAAAAAUAAUUAAUUUUAUUAAAAUAGAUAAAACUAUGUACAGUAAAUUUGAAUUGAAAUCAAAUAAUAAUAUAAAAAUAUUAUAAUAUAAAUAUUAUAAAUUAUAAAUUUAUAAAAAAUAUAUUAAUAUAAUAGUGGAUAACUGUGCAAUAAUUUAACACUUACAAGUGAAAAUUAUACGUAAGUAAGGUAUAGUGAACAGAUCAUUUUAAUAGUAAAAGUGAUCGAUUAACGGAUAAAAGUUACGCUAGGGAUAACAGUGUAAUAACAUGAGAGAGUAGAUAUUGUCAAUGUUGUUUGCCACCUCGAUGUCGACUCAACCUAUCCUAUUGGUAGUAUCAGCUAAUAAGGGUUUGACUGUUCGUCAAUUAAAAGGCUACGCGAGUUGGGUUUAAUACGUCGUCAGACAGUAUGGUUUCUAUCUUCUUUAGGGUUUAGUUAAUUAAAGUAUAUAACUUAGUACGAAAGGAUUAGUUAUAGUUAAUCUAUGAUUUUACUGUUGUGUAAUUAUAUUUUUAUAAUUGUUCAUUUAUUUAUAUUAUAGUUUACUAUAAUAUAAAUAAUAUAUUAUUUAUUGAAUUAUGCAGGCAGUUAAGUUAAAUUAAUAAUAAUUAAAUAUUGAAAGCAUUUAAAAUAUAAAAUUAACUUUAAUAAACUAUUUAAUAAUAAUUAUAUAUACCAUAUAUAUAAUUAUAUAUAUUUAUAUUAUGUUAGACUAACAUAUUAUUAGAUUCAUAUCAUUUUUGUGGUUAUGUAUCGUCUAAUUAAUAUAAUAUUUUAUAUACAUUCCUAUUUAUUUAUUUUAUUA
rnacentral:rRNA from 1 species